UACGGAGGGUGCAAGCGUUAAUCGGAAUUACUGGGCGUAAAGCGCACGCAGGCGGUUGGAUAAGUUAGAUGUGAAAGCCCCGGGCUCAACCUGGGAAUUGCAUUUAAAACUGUCCAGCUAGAGUCUUGUAGAGGGGGGUAGAAUUCCAGGUGUAGCGGUGAAAUGCGUAGAGAUCUGGAGGAAUACCGGUGGCGAAGGCGGCCCCCUGGACAAAGACUGACGCUCAGGUGCGAAAGCGUGGGGAGCAAACAGG
rnacentral:ncRNA from 6 species